GAGGGAACUACGAUAUCUAUAGUGCAAUGCAAGUGCACGUAUGUGGGAGCGUUUUUGUGGAAUGGGAAUGGCCUUGUUUGAAUAACUUGCUAUCAUGGGCUGAAGAAUAAGCAAGAUGUAGAAGAAUAAUGGGCAUCUGUAACUCAGUAGAAGUCAACUUAUUUAGGAGAGCACCAUACAAGGAGUAAAGGACUGAUACAACUCUGUGGACUCCAUACAUUCUGUGUCAACGAAAUGAAGAGAUGUUUAUGACAGGCCUUACAGUCCAGAUGUAACUGCACCUAAGGUGAGGCCUUACCUGAUACCGACUCUUGUAAUCCACAUUUGGAUGUGUUAGAGGAAUCCUAUCUUUGGGACAUCUGCCUCUGUAACACAUUGCUUGUUUCAUUAUCUGACUAGCGACCUGCUCACAAGAUCUGAAUCAAGAGCAGUUCCUCCUGAACAAAUUAAUGUUACUGUGCCUAACUUAUGUAGAUGAUGCCUUCAGCAUUAAUAUCAAAGAAUGGAUAUCUGGAGGGUCACCACCUAUAUGGUUUGUCAUGUGGAAAAAUGCACCAGCUGGAUGGAGAAAACAGAUUUCAUUGGAUACAAAACAUUUCACCUAACACCAUGUAGGAAUCAAACCUGUUGUUGUAAAUCCUAGAGAAAGGAUUUGCAAAUAAUUAACAUUCAAGUGCUAUGUGACAAACGUAAUCUGUCUGUGCUUUACACCAAAACAAAUUUACAGUAGUAAAUGAUGAGACAUGGUGCAGUUGGAGUGGCAGGUUUCUAGAGUGUCCUACUAUAACAAAUGAACAAUGGAAUCAACAUUUACGUUUAUCUGAUUACUGAUAAGAAUAACUGAAGAUAGGCAGACAUAGAUUAUCUUGUCAUAUCCCUUUGCUCUUUUGAGGUUCUUGCUGUGCCCGAAUUGGUUGUUGUCCCAUUCAUUAUAACAACGACUACACCGGAGAAGUACAUUGUUCACUCUGAAAGUCUUUGAGUUGUCCUGCAUUGUGAAAAGUUAGGUCUACACAUGUUUCUUAUUUCUAACCUGGUUUUAUAAAUCUCUCCAAAUUCAUUUUUAUAAAGCAAUAAGAUGUAAUACAAUGGAGUUUUUAAAACAAACCGGUUGGAUGAUAUAAUGUCACCAUUGUAAAAUAAAUAAUGUAAUAUACACCAUGGUACAAUAUGACAUGUUGCUGCUGUAAUAUAUGAAUUGCUGGACAAUUCUACACAUGGCAAAUUUUUGGGUUUUUAAAAGUCAUGGAGACUGCGCAGCUU